ensembl:lncRNA
UUUCUUCCUUCUUUUAUUUCCUUUCUUCCUCCACUUCUUUCCUUCCCUCUCUCCCCUCCUUCCUUCCCUCUCUCCCCUCCUUCCUUCCUCUCUCUCUCCCUUCCUUUCCCUGCUAACAAAAUGGAUGUUUAUAAGGAAUUAUCUCCCUCUGCUAAGGGCAUAUAAACUACUUAAUUUGCAUUCAAAUAAUUGUCACCUCUGUAGGAAGCAUCCAUUUGCUGCAGGUCAACUAUGCAGUUUGUUGAGGAUUAAUUAACCGUGUAGUUUUCCAAAGUUUCUCUCUUUUCUCUCCAUAGGCACAAAUAAUCCACCUUGGGGGGAGGGGUAGAAAAGCAUUUCAGAGACCAAAGGGCAAGAGUCUCCGUUGUGAACAUGCUGUUUGUGCCCUGGAUUUCUUGUUCUCUGCUCAAUUCCUAUCUGUUCCCUGGCCCUGAACACCCACUACUGUUCUGCCUGGAAGCACGGCCUGACCUUGCCUGGGCAAAACCUGAUUGAAGAAGCGUCUCUGCCUGCCUUUGUGCACAUUCACCUUGGAAAGAUGUAAAAAUGAUCAAACAGUUGGAUAGGGUUCUUAGGGCAGAUCCACGUUUCUGUGAAUGAAUAACAUUUAUUCAAUAUUUACUCUGUGCCAGGCAUAGUUAUAAAUGCUUUACAUGUAUUAACUCAGUUAAUCCUCCCAACCUUUUACAGUGGAUUCUAUCAUGCUCCUUAUUUUACAGAUGAGGAAAAUGAGGCUCAGAGAGGUUGAGCCACUUCCCUCAGGAUGCACAGUGAAUUAUGGAGAAAAGAUCUGAACAUGAGCAGUCUGACUCCAGAUCCUGUGCUCAUGGUGUGGAAAGUGUUGCCUCCAGAUGUAAUUACAGUUUAAUGAAGACCAACAACAUUUCAGUCCCUGUGGGAAGAACUUGGAUUCAGUCGUCUGGAACAGCACAGUGGUUGCAAGGUGGCUUUGGACAUCAGACAUCCUAAUCCUCACAGCCCACUUGGUGAACGGUCGCAGAGGUAGAAUGUGGGGUGGAGACUGUGAAAGGAGAUGAGGAGCACCCAGGAACCACUUUUCUUACUUCAUAUUAUCAUUUCAACCCUGUGCUGCAAUUUCUGAAAGAUGGAGGUAUCAUUUUCAGCUUUUCAAGUCAGCUAAUUACACUGCUGUGAGCUAGUAAAAUAAUUAAUAAAUGUUAACAUUUGCAUGUCA